AGAGAGGUGCUCGAGUGGUUGAAGAGGCUACCCUGGAAAGGUAGUAUACGGGUGACUGUAUCGUGGGUUCGAAUCCCAUCCUCUCUG
rnacentral:tRNA from 1 species